GGAAAUACCCUCCAAAACGGGUCUCUCCCGGCGUGCCCCGCGGUGGGGGGCGGUGUCGAGGUCGCGUCUGGCGGGCCCUGCUAGUGCCGGGAUGCGGGAAGGCGCGGCCCGCGGGCCCCGGGUGCCGGCGGCGCGCGCGGACGGGAAGUUCGGAGCUGAAGCGGAUCUGCCCAGUCACUUCCUUUUCAUUCCCGGCCGGAGCCGACUGAACCAGACACAAGACAUAUAUAUUGGUUUGGGUGGGGCUUCCAGGCAGAACGGCAAUACACUGGUAGGCAAUGUACAGCCUCGACAAAUAAAAUUCCUUGUAGAUGUUUUAAACAA